CCUAUGAGGAAUUGAAGCUUUAACCUGCAGUAGCAAAAUAGUUUUCUUUAAAAAAAAAAAAGCGUAUGCAGUUAUAGUUAAAUAAAUCAUAUUGAAAAACAGAAUAGAUAGGAAAUAUCUAUAUCUCACUUCCUAAUUAUGUCACUGUUACUACCCCAGCCUGUUGCGGUCAUGUAUGUGUGUUGCACCUGUGUGGUAGGAAGACUAUCUAAUGGUGUGCUUCUGUCCAUCUCUUGCCAAUUCUGCUUUCAGUGAUGUCGUGAAGAUGGUCUGAAAUUAGGUUGGGAGCAGAAUUUACACCAAAGAAAAUGGCCAAGACUAAAUCAGGACCUGUGAAAAAUUUAUUUCUAGAAAGCUGUUCUCUGGGAGGGACUGAGAGAUGAACGGGAGGGAGUCCUUGAGAUGAUCCUGGUGUUGGGACCAGGAUAGCUUCAGCAGAGGUCCGUGUGUUUGGCUUCUACUGAGAGGAAGCAAAGUGGAAGAGAACUUGACACUUGACUAGAAAGGGAAAGCCAGGUGGGGAAGGUAGGGAACCCUUUGGUUCCUUAGAGCAGGGUAUAUGAAGCAGCCCUCUUACGGCGCAGGAUGGUAUAUUAACAGUAGCUCCCUUCCACAAUGAGGUUGUUUGCUUAAAAGCUCUCAAAGCACUUUACGUCUAUUACCACUUUCAUCUAUCAAGUAUGUGAGCGACCAAGGAGAGAAGCAGUAGAGACACGCUCUUUAAGAUAGAAGAACUGGGGGCCCCAGGGAGGCUAGUGACCCUUUUAACCUCAGAAAACUGCCCAGUGGGGCACCGCAGUCCAGUGGCCAGACCUAAGUGCUACCUGAACUCCCUCCUUCUCCUCCAGCCACGCUGUGUGACCUGGGACACAUUUCCUGAGCCUCAGCUUUUUGUCUUUGGAACAUCACGGAAGGAAUACGUGGAAGGAGGUGUGUCAGACAACAAACUGUGUGACUGGUUCUCCAAACAUGGUCAGAGAUCAGAGGUCCUCGCUAUUCCUGCCCGCUCCUCCACCGCUGGAAUGAUGCCGAGUUUCACCUGGAGGUCAGCAGCCACACCUCUCCCCUUCUG
rnacentral:lncRNA from 1 species